rnacentral:rRNA from 1 species
CACGUAGGGUGCGAGCGUUGUCCGGAAUUAUUGGGCGUAAAGAGCUCGUAGGCGGUCUGUCGCGUCGGUCGUGAAAACCUGCAGCUUAACUGUGGGCUUGCGGUCGAUACGGGCAUGACUGGAGUUCGGCAGGGGAGACUGGAAUUCCUGGUGUAGCGGUGAAAUGCGCAGAUAUCAGGAGGAACACCGGUGGCGAAGGCGGGUCUCUGGGCCGAUACUGACGCUGAGGAGCGAAAGCGUGGGGAGCAA